rnacentral:snRNA from 10 species
AUACUUACCUGGACGGGGUCAAUGGGCGAUCAGUAAGACUCAUGGCCUAGGUUGGUGACUUCCAUGGCACUUUGGAAGGGUGCCUACCUAAGGUCGGCCCAAGUGGUCGAGCCUACGUCAUAAUUUGUGGUAGAGGGGACCUGUGUUCGCGCGGUCCCUAC